UCAAAUCCAAUUCUAACAAGAGUGAUCUCUGUCUAAUCCGAUAAAUCAUUGCGUGUAACCCGCAAAUAGGUUUAUCUGAUAGUUCUCAUACGAUUCAGAGAUUAAUCCAGGUUUUAAUCAUAACUUUGCAAUUUCAAUUCGGGUUCCAGGUUUGUUAAUUUCUUUGAAACUACUUGUUCUAGACCAAUUAUACAACAAAGAUAAACCUAUUUUAGGGUUCAAUUUGGUUCGAAUUGUAGUUGUAGUUUUGUUCGAAUAUUUGCCUGACCUGUGAUAGUUUUGUUGGAAAUCUAAGUUGCAAAAAUAUAACUUUGAAUUCAAUUAUAUUAUUUGUUAGAUGCUUGGUGUCAAUCGACUGUAUUUUGAAAUGACGAAAAACAUUGAGUUUGAAUUUGGUCAACAAUAGUAUUCUGCCCACUUAGUUUAUAAUUUUUAUUGUUGAAGGAAAUCCUAGUUCGUGGAAUUAUUGAAUCAAACAGAAUAUGGAAAUUUAAUUUGAUCAACUUGAUUUCUAGACUUUGGAAUUUUAUUUUGAUUCAGUGAUGUUAAUUCAAGUUGUUUAAAUAAUAUUUGUUCAAGGAAUUAGGAAUUAGGAAUUAGGAAUUAAAUGGUAUUUACUAUUUUAAUAUUCUCAAACUGAUAUGGUGUAAUUGAAAUUCGUUGACAUCAGUUAGACAUAACUGGUAGAUUAUUUUGAUGAAUUAAUUAAAGGGUAGUUUGGAAAUCAUUUUCGAUUAAUUUAAAGUAGGUUUGAUCAGUGUAUUUUCUUUUAGUUUGAUCAAUAUUGAAUUUCAAAGUUAACUCAAAAUGGUUGAAAAUGAUGAGAAAACUGGAAAGUUUAACAAGUUUAAGGAUAAUAAGAGAAAGUUGGACCGGGAUAAUAAUGAUUCCAACAAGAAACCAAAAGGGGGUUGUUGGAGAUGUGGCAAACCGGGGCAUUUCAAGAAAGAUUGUCGUGUGAAGAUUACUAGUGGAAACAAAGCUAACAUAGCGGGUCCAAGUGGGUCGAAAGAUCCGAAUGCUUCACAAGAUGACAUGCUUGCAUGGUGGGUAGACUCGGGUGCUACGAGUCACGUUUGCAAGGAUCUCAAAUGGUUUCAGGAAUUUGAACCACUUGAAGAUGGAUCUGUACUAAGGAUGGGGAAUGUUGCAACUGAGCCCAUCAAAGGAGUUGGAAAAGUUAGACUUGUAUUUACUUCUGGAAAACAUCUAUUAUUAGAUAAUGUGUUGUAUGUACCAGGGAUUCGAAAGAAUCUCUUAUCUGGAAUUGUAUUAAACAACUGUGGUUAUAAACAGGUCAUUGAGUCGGAUAAGUUUAUCUUGUCUCGACAUGGAACCUUUGUAGGAUUUGGAUAUUUAUGUAAUGGCAUGUUUAUGCUUAAUAUUGAUAUCCCGUCUGCUAUUGAAUCUAUUUGUAUG
rnacentral:lncRNA from 1 species